AGACAUGGUAUAAUUAAUGUUGUUACUGCAUAGCAAAUAUUUAUACGAAGCUAACACAACUUGAACGGAGAAAAUCAAAGUUAAAAUAAUUAAGUUAUGAAGUUUACAAGUGUUUGGAUUUAUUUUUAUACCUAAAAAUCAAUUUCUGGGAUUUAUUCAUGGAAUUUAAUAGAAUUUGGACCGAGGGAACAAAAUCACGAGAGUUCAGGGUCCAAACCCUAAAUUCCAGGACCCCAUUCCAGUAGUCUUUACCCUGGGUUGGAUGGAGGAUUAUUUUUGAAAUACUUCAGGGUCUCAUUUGAUAAUGUGCGCGGCUGACGCAACACAGAAAAUCCUGGACCGCCAGAUCUAGAUCCGAAGGAUCAGAUCACGUUGUCGAACCGUUAUCCUAUGAUCUAAUCCCACCCGCUCAUAGCCGAUCCAACGACCAUGAUGUCCGCCCACACAGCGUUAUUUUUUUCUAAUCUGGACCGUUCAUAAACAAAUCAUCGGCACACGUCUAUCUCCUUUCUCCACACUGCUACCCGAGCCCACGUCGACGGCGUGGGCCUUUCCUACGGCGGCGCCAUCACCAGGCCCCCACAACCCACGACCCGGCACCCAGAACUCCCAAACGAAAGAUGCUACAUGGAGCAAAGACAAAGGCGAGAUUGGAGGAAAGGUUCUCACCGUGAACUGUGCGCGUAGAAGCUCGUCCAUGGCCAUAGGCAGUUCUGCGGCGGUGGAAUUGCUCUGUCGGGCAAUUGCUCCAGCCCAGAGAGCUCCCGCACCCAUCCACUCUCUCGAACAAGAUCCAGGCCCUCCGGCGAUCACACGAAAGCCAGCAAACAGCUGGAGUCGUAGCCCUUGGAUGCGCGUGCCGACUUAUAUGCAGUCGAGGUGAGAGUUGGUUACGCCAGCUGGGCACCUCCGCGCCACACGCGGGACGUUCGCUGCGUCCGUGAAGACGGGGAGGGAAUUCACCGCCAGGACGCCAGGUACGCCGCCGGGCACCGGCCCCCUCCUCCCUCCCUCCUCCCUCUUCCCUCUUCCCUCUGCAGUCUGCACAAACACGACGCGACGCAGAGAGCUCGCUAGCUCGGCCCCCUCCUGGCCUCCUCACAGAGCCGCCAGCCUCCGAGCAGAGCGCACAAACCCAAGGCAGCGCCGGCCCCCUCCUCCCUCUUGCGCAAGCCCCACUGCGCUGCUCUGCUCUCUGCGCAAGCCCCACUACACUGCUCUGCACAAGCCGCCAGUGCAAGCCGCCGCCCGCCAGUGCCCAGUGCAGGCACACCUAGGUGAUCUAAGUUAUUAAUCCUUGUCAUAGCAUGUCUAUUUUUUUAAUCAAAGCUUCCUUUCUACUGGGUUGGUUUAUUUACUUUAAAAGUAGUUAUGAAUUGUUUUUUCAAGACGUGUUAGGAAAUAGGCAAGGAAUCUUCGCUAUUCAGCUGGUUAUCAUCUAUGAUCCUCUAAACUCGAUAUUUCUUUCUCAUGUGCUUAUACUCUAUACCUCUUUAGAAAAUUUGCGUGGUGAUUUAUUUCUUUUUAAUAUUGCUUGUAUGUUUAUUUCAUGGUUGUUUAUGUAUGGACAUGACUAUAGUAUGCAACUGUGUUCUUUGUGCUUAUAUGAUAUUAGAUUCGAGUUGAAAGUCGUUUCAAAUCCUACAUAAAGAGUAUGGAUAAAUCAUGGAUCACAAGUGAGGCUAGGUACAAAGCAACUUUUCAUAGCAACUCUUAUGUUUUUCUAUAGUUAUAUUGAUAUGUAACAUAGGAACUGUAUGUAGGGAGACAAAGGUUUAUAAACAAGGGGUGAAUGGUUUUCUA